GAGAAAAUUACCUCAACUUCGUAUUUCGUUCGUUUUUUCUGCCUACGAAUUGGCUCGAUACUAUGUAGGGUUCCUUGUCGAGGAUAUUUUUCCAGUUCCCUCUGUUUCGAGUUAUUCCAUUCUCUGGCAUAACCUGACCUAUCGUAUGAGAUAGCUCGUGAGUCUCGUCAAUCGUUUCAUGAUGCUCGAACAGGGACGUGAAUUAAACGCACAGAAGGGAAGAAUUCAGUGAGGUUUGUCAAUUUCAAUGUCUGAUUAACAGUCAUACGAAGUGCACCGAUCUCAAAGCCAAUCGAUUCAUCUCGUGAUCGACUCAUUGUGCGGUUAAUUUCAUCGAGAACACGUAACGAACUGUACGGUUCACGGCGUGUCUUUACCGGAAAUAUGGUGCUCAACUUCAGUCGGUAUUCGUCUGGAAAAGUAUCGAUCGGUUUGCGUGAGAGAAACUUGUUAUAUCGAAGAAAAAUGGAUACAUUCUAUGACAUCACGUUUCGAAUAUUUAACCUAAAAGAUAGAAUAGUAAUCGUGUUCGAAGUCGAUGGACUUUCGAUGGAAAUCAUUUUCACCUUUGUACACGAAACGCUGGAGCCGGCGUCCACACGGCUAUAGGAUCGAUCGUGAGUGUCAGGCAGCCAGGCACGUCGUCGUCAGGCUGGGUUGUGCCUCUGGAGAGGGCAGCCAGGGGGAUAUAGAAGGGACACCGACUCGACUCGCACUCGAGACAUUCUUGAUACAACGAGGACCGGCUUGAAAACUUACCUCUGUCGCUACUCUUGAGCCUUAAUCAAACAAUCCUUCGUACAUUCGGAAAUGUCGUUACGAUAACGCCCAGAGCUAAUUAACCGUGCGCAUUGCGCUAAACCAAUGUGUCUCUCGUAUUCACGGAAUGGAAUCAAAGGGAAUACCCGGUCGACUUCUGUGUACGGUCGUACAAUAAUUUUUUCAUUGUUCUACGUCAUUUAUGAAAAAAAUGAACAUGAAGUAGAUUAUUUUGAAGAUUAUAAUUUUUGAUCAUCUUUUUAUAAAUUAAGAAUUUAGAAUUAUGGUAGGAAUUUAUAUCAGAUUGGUUAAAUAUAAUUGAUCAAAAAUAUUCAGGUAAAUAUGUGCAGUAAUCUGUAAUUGUAACAAGAUUAAGAACGAAUGAAUAUUCUAGGUGUAAGCUAGCUCAUCAGCUUCGAUUUCUACCACAGUUUCAUUGUUUUUACCCUUUUCUUUCGCUGACGGUCUGGUAAAAUACAUAGCAGAACGCAUAGGUGAAUUUACAUGUGGCCUGAAGAUGUUCCAGUACAUUUCAAAAAGACAGUUCAAUGGUCCAACAGAUUGCAACACAAGAGUACGAUAUAUUGAAUGCGUAACUCGUUGAAGUUCCAAAGUUGAGCACCGUAGCGAUAUUUAAAAUUAUCAGCGUUGGGGGUCGAUGAUUUUAUUUUCCUGCGGAGACCUUUCGACCCUCUGUCGAGGAAGCCUGUCACAGACUAAUAUCCUGUAUAUAGUUCUACCAUGAGUAACCUCUGCUACUACCUAAAAUUAUCGAUUAUAAAUGAAGUAAUCAAGUCACAGUAUUAUAUAUGAUUUAGUAAAAUUUUCUUUCAUUCUAGAGUAAGGAGAAUGUCUUGAAAAAUAUGUAACUUAAUUCCUGAAGAAUUCUUCAUAGAAAAAGAGGAGACUUGGAAUAAAUCAAAAAGCUUAUUAAUAAUUCAACUAUUUGAGUAGAAAAUAUACUCGAUAUCUACAUAUAUGUAUAUGUAUAUAACAUUUACUAUAGAUCUAUAGGGCGUCUUUUCGAAAAGCUGUUCAAUUACCAAUAAAUUAUCUUUAGUAUAUUUACAUUCAUUAUAUAUUCAUAUCAUAUUAAUUAUUUCUAACUCCAUUCAGUAUCUGUUGGUAGAACUUCUGCAUCUUUUAAUCCAUCUUAUUAAACAAUUGCCAAAAUAUAUCCUGGUGAAGAAGGAACGUUUAUAAUCAAACUACAGAUAUUUAUACAAAUUCAUAUUUUUGUGAACUUUGAAUAUUUCCGAUAUUUUUGUAUAUUGUGUAUAUUGGAGAUUAACCUUGUAUAGUCUCCGAAAAAUGUCAAUGUACCUCCGGUGACGUUGCUCGCUUUCUGCUGCUGACGUAUCGUCGUCCUAAAAGGCCAACGAAUAGGAGCUCGGUGAAGCUUCACUAACAAGCUUUUGUCAUUGAGCAAUGAAGUGCACUGCCGUGUAUGCACUUCUUUUUUCUUCUUCUUUUUCUCGUCUAAUAGAACUAAAUAACUAACAACGUGUGUGCCACAUGUUACGAACAUUUAUCCAAAGUAUAUACUCCUAAGUUCGGUUCAUUGAUUUACCGGGCUGCAACGGAUUUAGCUUGUACCGUGAAAGUGAUAUUACGUACGAGCCGUACGCCAGCACGUGGCGUCUCUUUUAUUGAGUUUAUAUAAUCAUGCCUCGAUUGUCCUCAUCCUGGGGGCAGACUUAUUAAUAAACAAAUAAACAUCGUCAUAGCGCUUCGUUCGUGUUACGUUCUGUUUUUAUUGGUUUAACAUAUUGGUAAUUGAUCGAUCCAUACAUUUUGACUUGCUUCGCGGAGGAAUGUUUUCAGGAUGAAUAGUAGUCGUUCUACGUUUCUGAAAUAAUUCGAAGCAUUAGGAAACGCUGAAAGCUUUUCGAGAGAAUAGAGGACUUUGUGGAGUAAUCGGAUACCGUUGCUUUGGAUGAAAUUCUCUUGUAGCGUUCCUGUCGCAUAUAGAAGCACUUCUUAAUAAUUUAACAAAAAAAUAUCAUCAAAAUAUUAUAGGAUUAAGUAAUCUUACACAUACGCUAUAAUCCAUAUUCUAUGAGAAAUUUUGCAUCAUACAUUGUUGAUACAAUUAAACUACAGGACUGAUGCGCGCAACAUAUAAACACAGUAGUACAAUCGCGUCGAAUUAACAGAACGUAGUGGAGGCAACGGAGGGUGAUCGUUGCCGGAAGUUUGGCACACUUACCGUCAUUACCGCGGAUAUGAUCGGCAAGACCUGUUCGGUUGCGCCAGUGUGCGUGGGCGUGUCGGUUUCCUCCGACACAGAUCAUCCGUGCACGACCUGAUAGACGUGAUCGAUGAUCGAUACCGAGAAUACAUGGGACCGGAAAUGGCACUCGCGUUACUUUAGAUAUUAUACACUGUGACGAAUUAUCCGGUCGACAAUUUAACCCGCUACAUCGUCUGGAUACGAAUUAUGACAUUGUUCGCGUUAUGAGCAUGCAUAGGCGUAGCCUCUGUUUUUCUUUCAAUGAAUCAUUUUAAGUAGAAAGAACGGUCAAUGAAAUUCUUGGUAAUAGAGUUUGAUAAUUCUCAAACUGUUAUUGCGACGUUCUGAAAAUUCAACGGGGUGUUGUAAGACAUAUUAAAUAUGAAUUGAUUGAAUAAUGUAACAAGUUGGAAUAAACAGGAAGUAGAAUGGAAUUUUAUUUAUUGGAGAAAAAGGAAAUUAGAUUUUAAUUCGAACGAAACUUUAACUAAAGUCGUGCUGACUCCAUUCGUUCAAUCAAAUGUGAACUUCUUUUAUUUGAGUAUCUACAUCGUUAUCAUUUGAAUGAUACGUUCCUCGUAUUACAUGAAUUCUAGUUAUAUGAACCAAUAAAUUAAAUUAUCACCAGAGACGAAAGAAAUCCAUUAGAAAUGUAUGCAUAUUAAAACAACACCAUCCUAAAUCAUACUAAAACAAUCAAACGCGCAAUAUAAAUUUAUAAUAUUUAUAACGAUUGAACACAAAAUAAUAUCUCGGAAUUUUCUACAAAAAUUAAUCAAGAAAGUAGUUUACCGUACAUUACACAAAUCAGAGUAUAGAUAUUCAUCUAUCUUGUGAGAUAAGAUAACCAAAAUUAGUAGAAUUGUACAUUGAUCGGUAUCGAUAUCUUUGGCCGAUCGGGACGCGUCAUCGGUCAAGGGAAAUUACAGGUUUGUUGAAUCGGUCCGGAUGCAAAAUGUUGGUGGAUGAUCGAAGAACAGUACUUGCGUGAAAGCGCGCGUAAUGCCCGGUUCACGCACGAUAAACUGGGAUUUAUCCGCUUGGCGCACAAUCGUCGCAGGUGCAGCCACAAACGGGGACAAGGGCCUCGAAUUGCGUAGACUGUAGACGAAUACGCGCGUAAUCGAGCGUUAAGCAAUUUACAUUUGUAAGGGCGCGAUCGGUUCGUUUCAUUUGACGUAACACAUCGACGAAGCCAACUUUUGAAUACGUUACGAUUCCAUGUCUUAAUUAAAGAACGCUUUAAUUAGUAUCAUAUUGUAACAGGGUGUUUCGUGACCUCGUUUCACUCAUUUUAUUCCCAUCUUGAGACGAAACAACAUUAAUUCAUCUUCCUAACGCUAAUAGGAAGCGCAAUUUUAUAUCGAACUAUUUGUUUAUUGGAAAAAUAUGUGGAAUAAUCUAAAAAUGGCGUUUGUUCGAUAAGAAACAGAUACGAGAAAUAAGAAUUGAUAAGGAACGCGUUGAACAAUUUUUGCAAUAAAUCAACAUGUAAACAGACUAUCUGUUCUAUUUAAGCUCUAUCUUACGAACAAGAACAAAGUUCUCGAAAUUGAAUGAAAGUUUUAAGUUAAAUAACAUGGGCAAACAAUAACUUCCAUUUAAUACAAUCUUAUGAAAGAAUACAAAGUUCUGUAGCGAUUGAAUGAAAGUUUCAAGUUAAAUAACAUGGCAAGAUACAUCGAGUGAGACCGUUAAUUACGUAGAAACCGUAACAAAGCGCCUGAGCCUAACAUCUUUACGGAAAGUAAUUAUAAAAUGCGGAUUUUCUAUUGGAUCACGUCAUAGAAUCGAAUAGAAACUUUUAUGAAUUUAAUUAACCGAUAUUAUUUGCAAUCGAGUUUCAUACCAUCGCAGCUAUUUAAUCCACGAAGCGUUAAGUCUCGCGCUUUUGAUAGAAUGUGAUAAGUAUUUCUUUUCUUAUCUUGAGAUUAGUUUUAUUUUUGCCAGACAAGUAUAUAUAUUCCAUUUGCAAGGAAUUUGAAGCUAUUCGCAUGAAAACGUAAGUGGAUGCUGUGAAAAUGGUUGACCCAUUCAAUUAAAUCGGUUGUUACGACGAGUACGAGCAUCGAAGGAAGUUAGGGUCAUUGAUAUGCGAACAGAGCGAAGACCUUGGCGAUCCCGCGAUGAAUAUUCUUGCGAAUUCUAAUCACGUGUUGUACGAUUGUGGACAAUAGCUCUUUAAUCUUGUUUUCCGUUUUAUAUUUUUUAGUUUCUUCCUUUCAUCUUUUUUCUGUAAUUCUCAUAAGGAUAAGGAAGUCGAGGACAUCUGUAUCAAGCUAAAAAUAAACGGUGCAAUCGUCGUUUGUCGAACGACGAUAGCAUAUCUGGUGUGUUUGGUCUUAACUUACUUCGUUCAUGUGGUAAUGAAUUUAUUGCAACCUUGCAACUUGUUGGCUGAAAAAAUUGUGGGACGAUAACUACUUGUUAUGGCGUUGCAAAACUCUUGUGGUCGUUCAUUAAAUCAGGACCUCGUGUUGCAGGGAUUUAUAUUUAUUACUGCAAAUUGUCCGUUUUUAUAUUGCCAAUAUGUCACUUAAAAUUUCGAGUAUCCUUCAUCACUACAAUAGAUAAGCAAAAAUAUAUAAUUUAAGAAACACUAAAUAUCACAAUUGCUUGUAAUGAACGAACUAGCGUGGAUAUGAAUCGAUAGAGACAAAUGUAAAACGAGGGGUCAAUAAAUAGGUCAGGAGAGAGCUAAAUAGAUUACGCAGAAAAUAAGAACGCCAUUUAUCAUGAAACUAAGUCUGUUUCUUGACAAAAACAGCGAAAUCAAUACAAUACUAAAUAUAUAAUGCACUAGUAAAAUUACUAUUUAAAGACUCCAUUUAUCUGUGUAUAUAUAGUAAUAUAUAUGUAUAUUUUAAAUAUAGUAAUCUUCAAUCUAAAAAUAUAGCGAUGAUAAAAUAGGUCCAUUACCGCCUGCCUUAUAGCUUUUGAUGUCAACUACAAUUUACAUUUUUACAGUUACAUCAAUAAUACUUACAUACUAUAACUUAAUACGUAAUCUAAAAUUACUUAAACUGCUUAAGUCGUAAAUUAAAUUUGAAUUUUCCGUACUUAAUAUCUUCUUUUGUA